rnacentral:rRNA from 1 species
AGUGAACGCUGGCGGUAGGCCUAACACAUGCAAGUCGAACGGCAGCACAGUAAGAGCUUGCUCUUACGGGUGGCGAGUGGCGGACGGGUGAGGAAUACAUCGGAAUCUACUUUUUCGUGGGGGAUAACGUAGGGAAACUUACGCUAAUACCGCAUACGACCUACGGGUGAAAGCAGGGGAUCUUCGGACCUUGCGCGAUUGAAUGAGCCGAUGUCGGAUUAGCUAGUUGGCGGGGUAAAGGCCCACCAAGGCGACGAUCCGUAGCUGGUCUGAGAGGAUGAGAGCACGCAGGGGAGGGGAAACGCGGUCAAGGGGCCUAAGGGAGGCACAAGUGGGGAAUGUGGGACAAGGGGGGCAAGCUUUUGAAAACCAUUUGGCGUGGGAGAAAAAGGCGUUCGGUUUGUAAAGACCUUUUGUGGGGAAAGAAAAGCAUUAGGUUGAGACGAAGCUGUUGUGACGGUAACCGGAAAAGAAGCACCGGCUAACUUCGUG